GGCCCGUUCGUCCAGCGGUCUAGGACGCGGCCCUCUCAAGGCCGAAACAGGGGUUCGAGUCCCCUACGGGUCACCA
rnacentral:tRNA from 1 species